rnacentral:rRNA from 1 species
GACGAACGCUGGCGGCGUGCUUAACACAUGCAAGUCGAACGAAGUGGCGAACGGGUGAGUAACGCGUAAUCAACCUGCCCUUCAGAGGGGGACAACAGUUGGAAACGACUGCUAAUACCGCAUACUGAAGGAGGGGAUUGCGUCUGAUUGGCUAGUUGGGGGGGUAACGGCCCACCAAGGCGAUGAUCAGUAGCCGGGCUGAGAGGAUGAACGGCCACAUUGGGACUGAGACACGGCCCAGACUCCUACGGGAGGAAGCAGGGGGGAAUCUUCCGCAAUGGACGAAAGUCUGACGGAGCAACGCCGCGGGAGUGAUGACGGCCUUCGGGUUGUAAAGCUCUGUUAAGCGGGACGCGGUACCGGAAUAGAAAGCCACGGCUAACUACGUGCCAGCAGCCGCGGUAAUAC